AACCCUCUCCAGCAGAUGGAGGUGGUGUGCCUUAAUGCUGGUUUCUAUCCUCUGAUAAACAACAGAGAAGAAGAAAGUAGCUCCGACGAUCCUUCGUUUACUGUCUAUGGUUUGCUGUACAGUAAACACAACCGGGAAGGUGAAACGCUGUCUGAGUCACUUGGACCAAUGUUCACGGCCAGGUGCAUUUUGGGAACAUAUAAGAAGUAUUUGGCCUCUGUCCGAGCUUUGAGAAAACAGAUCAAGCUACAAAACAGGAUGUCGACUUUACCUCACUCAGUGGUUGCAGUGUGUCAGGUAACAGCCACCCCGGACAAAGAGGCCAACUUCUCUGCCUGUAAACAGCUGGUGAAGGAAGCCAAGGACCGAGGGGCCAGCAUGGUCUUCCUGCCCGAGGGCUUCGACUACAUCGGAUCCAGUCGAGAGGAGACGCUGUCGCUGUCUGAGAGCUUGACAGGAGACACAAUCUCACAAUACACUCAGCUGGCCAGAAAUUUGGAUGUCUGGCUGUCUCUUGGAGGAUUUCAUGAACGAGGACAUGAUUGGGAGUCUGACAAACGGAUCUACAACAGUCACAUCAUAAUUAAUGAUAAAGGGGACAUCAUUUCAGUCUACAGGAAAUCCCAUUUGUUUGAUGUGGAACUGCCAGAAAAACACGUAUCCCUUAAAGAAAGUGCCUUCACCAUCCCUGGACCUACCCUUGUGUCUCCAGUCCAAACUCCCAUCGGCAAGAUUGGCCUGGGCAUCUGCUAUGAUCUGAGAUUCCCUGAGUUAUCGCUGGCUCUUCAAAGGCAUGGGGCUGAGAUUCUGACAUACCCAUCAGCCUUCACUGAAGCAACAGGAGCUGCUCACUGGGAGGUUUUACUCCGUGCACGGGCAAUCGAGACCCAGUGUUUUGUCCUGGCGGCGGCGCAGGUCGGCCAGCACCACGAAAAGCGAUCAUCGUAUGGCCACGCCCUGGCGGUGGACCCGUGGGGUGAGGUGCUGGCCGACUGCGGAGGGGAGAAGCCAGGCAUGGUGCUGGUGGAAAUCGACCUGGAGAAGGUCAGCAGCACCAGGAAGAGCAUGCCGGUCCAACAGCACCGCAGAGACACUGGUUUCUAUCACAGUCUGGAGAAGACUUGACUACAAGAGAAGUGAAAAAUUCAAACUCUGUUUAGGUUUCUGUGAAGCUGCAUUAUGAGCACUUUAAGUGAAAAUCAUCUCAUACCAAAUGAGUCUGUAAAUUACUCCUACUGGUCAAUAGGUGGUACUGUUGGCUAGUAACAAUAUAAGAAAGUACUGAUAUGUAUAUAUGAUAUGUGUUGAUCUGUGGUACUGAAUGGUUAUGUACAAAUGUACCUGCAACUUUUCUGUGAUUAAAAUAAUAUACUGUUACUGCUGAAAGAUUAUAAACUCAAACAUCUGGUUUGUUUGUCUUCUGUUUCCAUUACGAAUAAAUAGAUUACUUUCUUCGUUU